rnacentral:rRNA from 1 species
GAUGAACGCUGGCGGCGUGCCUAAUACAUGCAAGUCGAGCGAACGGACGAGAAGCUUGCUCCUCUGAUGUUAGCGGCGGACGGGUGGGUAACACGUGGAUAACCUACCUCUAAGACUGGGAUAACUUCGGGAAACCGGAGCUAAUACCGGAUAAUACUUUGAACCGCAUGGUUCAAAAGUGAAAGACGGUCUUGCUGUCACUUAUAGCUGGAGCCGCGCUGCAUUAGUUAGUUGGUAAGGUAACGGCUUACCAAGGCAACGAUGCAUAGCCGACCUGAGAGGGUGAUCGGCCACACUGGAACUGAGACACGGUCCAGACUCCUACGGGAGGCAGCAGUAGGGAAUCUUCCGCAAUGGGCGAAAGCCUGACGGAGCAACGCCGCGUGAGUGAUGAAGGUCUUCGGAUCGUAAAACUCUGUUAUUAGGGAAGAACAUAUGUGUAAGAAACUGUGCACAUCUUGACGGUACCUAAACAGAAAGCCCCGGCUAACUACGUG